UGUUCAAUGUUCAUUUACAGGUGAUUAGAACGUGUGUUAUGGUCAUUUUUACACGUGAUCAUUACACCUGUUCAAUGUUCAUUUACAGGUGAUUAGAACGCUUGAAUAUUGUACUUUCAGACGCAUGAAAUUGUACCAUUGCACACGUUCUGAACGCCUGUGUCGUAACGGGUAAAUUUCAUGGGUCUGAAAGUACCACAUUGUAGCCCCUCCCACCUCAAUUUCCGCGAGUUUGACUUUGUUUGACUUCCGGCCUGUUGAGAUGAAUCGCUUACCCAGGGAGGGAGUUUCUAAAUAUGGAUCAAAUUGUUCAAAUUAGUCAAGGCGUUGGUGAGAAAUGGAAGAAGAAAGGAAAACAACUUUUCCCACAUGGCAUUACAACUACAAAGUUGACGCUGGCUAGCUAACUUAUUUUAAUUUAAAUAGUUAGUUAACAAGCUAGCAAUAGUCUUCUGUCUAGCCUGUAACUAAUGGUUGUUACGUUGUGGGACAUAGCAAUAGUUAUUUAUACUUGUCAUUUGGUUGAGACUAACAUUCGUUUAGAAAAUAAUCGUUUACUUUGUGUAUAUUUGUUGUGUAAUUGUUUGGAUUUGCUAGUUGGCAAGCUGAGAUGUAUUUGCUCAAGUUGGCUAACUUUAGCUAUUAGCUCAUGUUUUAGGAGAACUGUGGGAUUCCGUAUUUUACAUUAUAGCCAUUACUAUAUAUAUGAUUAAAUAUGAUCUGAUGUUGGCUGUGUGAGGUAUCUGCAUUUGUGCACUUGAGCAUCAUGAGAUUAAACAACUGCUUGCUACAUCUAAUUGCCUGUUUGUGUGUGUGUGGCAAGAACUGAGUAACAUGGUGUGACCUGCAUGUUGCAAAACUGUAGAUAACAGCCCAGCAGAUGCUUUGUCCUUGUGUUUGUAUGUAACAAUAUUGAGCACAUGGUGUGACUUGCUGUAUCUUACAAAGUUGUGGUUGAUCAGGUAUAGGGAGGGGUGGUCAUCACGAGGUUUAACUGAGAUGGAAAAAUACUGAACACAAUAGCAGGAACUGAGCAACUGUUAUAACUAGACUGUGAUACCAGAAUAGUAAGAAUCUAUACAUCGACGGAGGGAGGACUCCAAGAAGCGCCAAAAGGCGGGGACCCGCCUGAGCGCCUGCGAUAGGCUGAGCAAGUCUAAACCACGCUCACCCUCUACUGUGAUAGGCCAACAGAUGGGUUGGAACAAUGUCUAUCACAGUAUAAGAACAACUGUUUACGUACAUCCUGUCAGUUCCCUGUUCUGCCCUGCGUGGUAUUACAUUGAGCCCGUAUAUACGAAAGUUGCAUUUGCCAUUUAUUGCUUAGCUAAUAAAAAAUACAUAAUAUACAAUCGGUGACUCUUUGUCAUGUUUAUCCUGAUACCAGAUUCGAAUUUACGCAACUCUAACAGAACAGACUUGCUCCUUGCAGAAUCUUGACAAAAGAGAACGUGGAAUAAGAUCUGGCUUUUGCAGUGCCCAGACAAGGUGAGAGCAAACUGCUACAGAGAUAAAAAGGAAUCUCAAUGCUAUGUUGAACGAGCGCCACGGGUGAAGGAGCGGGAGGAAAGCGGACAGCUUCAUUCUACCAAACAUACAAUGUUUGCUUCAUGAACAAUAGUUACUGAAAUAAAUACAUAAAUUAUCUGAAAUAAAUACAGAAUUAUUUUAGUUUAUUCUGUUUUUAUGCUGGAUGUGAGUAAUUUAGCAGGUCUGUAGUAUUGUUUUGAAACGUUCAUUAAAUAUCUAUUCAGUCAAAACUCAUUUAUUUUACGUUUGCUAAAAUAAUGUAUGUUUUGUACUGUUACUUUUUACAUUCUGAAACAGUCUCGUUAGUUUUGAGCUAGACUAUGAUCGGGGAAAUGUCUUCUGUAAAUGUCUACUACCCUUUUAAAAUGUUGAUGAAUGAAAUUAGCACCUUUUCUUAUAGUUUGUUGCUACUGUCUGAUGAGGAAGUGGGCGAUGUGUAAUACAUUGGAGGAGGAAGGGAGAAUUCAUGAGAAAUCAGAACUUGGCAAUGUCAGGGAAUAAGUAGGAUAAAUGUACAUCCUAUUAAUGGCAAAAGAAACUGCAGAGGUAGCUUUAAGAUAACAUUGGAUAUGUGCAUGUUAUGUACUGCACAGACGGCUAGCCAGCUAUUGUCAAAACAUUGGAUUACCAAUUUGAGCGGUGACGUCUCAGUUUGCACCACAUUUUGACAUGGAGGUAUGUCUCCUAGAGAUGAAAGUACUUUGGUGCAAAAAGUGAAAAUCCAUCCCAGAACAACAGCAAAGAACCUUGUGAAUAUGCUGGAGGAAACAGGUACAAAAAUAUCUAUAUCCGCAGUAAAACAAGUCCUAUAUCGACAUAACCUGAAAGGCCGCUCAGCAAGUAAGAAGCCACUGCUCCAAAACCGCCAUAAAAAAGCCAGACUACGGUUUGCAACUGCACAUGGGGACAAAGAUUGUACUUUUUGGAGAAAUGUACUCUUGUCUGAUGAAACACAAAUAGAACUGUUUGGCCAUAAUGACCAUCGUUAUGUUUGGAGGAAAAAGGGGGAGGCUUGCAAGCUGAAGAACACCAUCCCAACCGUGAAGCAUGGGGGUGGCAGCAUCAUGUUGUGGGUGUCCUUUGCUGCAGGAGGGACUGGUGCACUUCACAAAAUAGAUGGCAUCAUGAGGAGGAAAAUUGUGUGGAUAUAUUGAAGCAACAUAUCAAGACAUCAGUCAGGAAGUUAAAGCUUGGACGCAAAUGGGUCUUCCAAAUGGACAAUGACCCCAAGCAUAUUUCCAAAGUUGUGGCAAAUUGGCUUACGGACAACAAAGUCAAGGUAUUGGAGUGGCCAUCAAAGCCCUGACCUCAAUCCUAUAGAUAAUUUGUGGGCAGAACUGAAAAGGCGUGUGCGAGCAAGGAGGCCUACAAAUCUGACUCCGUUACACCAGCUCUGCCAGGAGGAAUGGGCCAAAAUUCACCCAACUUCUUGUGGGAAGCUUGUGGAAGGCUACCCAAAAUGUUUGACCCAAGAUCAACAAUAUUACCUCAAUUAGCCCGACUAACUGGUGCUCCCACACAUCGGCUACUCGGACAACUUGCAUUGUGUUCCGCCAAACCCUCUUUUACACUGCUGCCCUGUUUAUCAUCUAUGCAUAGUCACUAACCAUACCUACAUCUACAGUGGGGCAAAAAAGUAUUUAGUCAGCCACCAAUUGUGCAAGUUCUCCCACUUAAAAAGAUGAGGCCUGUAAUUUUCAUCAUAGGUACACUUCAACUAUGACAGACAAAAUGAGAAACAAAAAUCCAGAAUAUCACGUUGUAGGAUUUUUAAUGAAUUUAUUUGCAAAUUAUGGUGGAAAAUAAAUAUUUGGUCACCUACAAACAAGCAAGACCUGCAACUUAUUAUUUAAGAGGCUCCUCUGUCCUCCACUCAUUACCUGUAUUAAUGGCACCUGUUUGAACUUGUUAUCAGUAUAAAAGACACCUGUCCACAACCUCAAACAGUCACACUCCAAACUCUACUAUGGCCAAGACCAAAGAGCUGUCAAAGGACACCAGUAACAAAAUUGUAGACCUGCACCAGGCUGGGAAGACUGAAUCUGCAAUAGGUAAGCAGCUUGGUUUGACGAAAUCAACUGUGGGAGCAAUUAUUAGGAAAUGGAAGACAUACAAGACCACUGAUAAUCUCCCUCGAUCUGGGGCUCCACGCAAGGUCUCACCCUGUGGGGUCAAAAUGAUCACAAGAACGGUGAGCAAAAAUCCCAGAACCACACGGGGGGACCUAAUGAAUGACCUGCAGAGAGCUGGGACCAAAGUAACAAAGCCUACCAUCAGUAACACACUACGCCGCCAGGGACUCAAAUCCUGCAGUGCCAGACGUGUCCCCCUGCUUAAGCCAGUACAUGUCCAGGCUCGUCAGAAGUUUGCUAGAGAGCAUUUGGAUGAUCCAGAAGAAGAUUGGGAGAAUGUCAUAUGGUCAGAUGAAACCAAAAUAUAACUUUUUGGUAAAAACUCAACUCGUCAUGUUUGGAGGACAAAGAAUGCUGAGUUGCAUCCAAAGAACACCAUACCUACGGUGAAGCAUGAGGGUGGAAACAUCAUGCUUUGGGGCUGUUUUUCUGCAAACGGACCAGGACGACUGAUCCAUGUAAAGGAAAGAAUGAAUGGGGCCAUGUAUCGUGAGAUUUUGAGUGAAAACCUUCCAUCAGCAAGGGCAUUGAAGAUGAAACGUCUUUCAACAUGACAAUGAUCCCAAACACACCGCCCGGGCAACGAAGGAGUGGCUUCGUAAGAAGCAUUUCAAGGUCCUGGAGUGGCCUAGCCAGUCUCCAGAUCUCAACUCCAUAGAAAAUCUUCGGAGGGAGUUGAAAGUCUGUGUUGCCCAGCAACAGCCCCAAAACAUCACUGCUCUAGAGGAGAUCUGCAUGGAGGAAUGGGCCAAAAUACCAGCAACAGUGUGUGAAAACCUUGUGAAGACUUACAGAAAACGUUUGACCUCUGUCAUUGCCAACAAAGGGUAUAUAACAAAGUAUUGAGAUAAACAUUUGUUAUUGACCAAAUACUUAUUUUCCACCAUAAUUUUCAAAUAAAUUCAUUAAAAAUCCUAUAAUGUGAUUUUCUGGAUUUUUUUCUUCUCAUUUUGUCUGUCAUAGUUGAAGUGUACCUGAAAAUUACAGGCCUCAUCUUUUUAAGUGGGAGAACUUGCACAAUUGGUGGCUGACUAAAUACUUUUUUGCCCCACUGUACAUAGUGGCUUGAGGAAGUAUUCACCCCCUUGACAUUUUUCCUAUUUUGUUGCCUUACAACCUGUAAUUUAAAUGCAUUUUUAUUUGGAUUUCAUGUAAUGGACAUACACAAAAUAGUCCAAAUUGGUGAAGUGAAAUUAAAAAAAAACUUGUUUCAAAAAAUGUCAAAUUAAAUUAAAAUGGAAAAGUGGUGCGUGCAUAUGUAAGGGGGUGAAUACCUUUGCAAGGCACUGUAUUACCUCAAUUAGCCAGACUAACCGGUGCCCCCGCACAUUGACUCUGUACAGGCAUCACCUCGCUACUGUUAUUUUCACUGUCAUUUUACUGUUUUUAUUUAUUUACUUAUCUAUUGUUUACCUGAUACCUAUUUUCUUAAAUUGCACUGUUGGUUAGGGCUUGUAAGUAAGCAUUUCACUGUAAGGUGAAACACCUGUUGUAAUAGGCACACGUGACAAAUAAACGUUGAUUUGAUUUGCAAGA